CUACGGGUGGCAGCAGUGAGGAAUAUUGCACAAUGGAGGAAACUCUGAUGCAGCAACGCCGCGUGGAGGAUGACGCAUUUCGGUGUGUAAACUCCUUUUAUAUGUCAAGAAAAUGACGGUAGCAUAUGAAUAAGCUCCGGCUAACUCCGUACCAGCAGCCGCGGUAAUACGGAGGGAGCAAGCGUUACUCGGAAUCACUGGGCGUAAAGGACGCGUAGGCGGGAUAGAAAGUCAGGUGUGAAAUCCUAUGGCUCAACCAUAGAACUGCACUUGAAACUUCUAAACUAGAGUAUGGGAGGGGAAGAUGGAAUUAGUGGUGUAGGGGUAAAAUCCGUAGAUAUCACUAGGAAUACCAAAAGCGAAGGCGAUCUUCUGGAACAAUACUGACGCUAAGGCGUGAAAGCGUGGGGAGCAAACAGGAUUAGAUACCCCGGUAGUC
rnacentral:rRNA from 1 species